rnacentral:rRNA from 1 species
AUGAACGCUGGCGGUCUGCUUAACACAUGCAAGUCGAACGGUUGUAGUAAUACGAUAGUGGCGGACGGGUGAGUAACGCGUGAGAAUCUACCAUAAGGUCUGGGACAACCAUUGGAAACGAUGGCUAAUACCGGAUAAGCCGUAGGGUAAAAGAUUAAUUGCCUUUUGAAGAGCUCGCGUCUGAUUAGCUAGUUGGUGAGGUAAAGGCUCACCAAGGCAUCGAUCAGUAGCUGGUCUGAGAGGAUGACCAGCCACACUGGGACUGAGACACGGCCCAGACUCCUACGGGAGGCAGCAGUGGGGAAUUUUCCGCAAUGGGCGAAAGCCUGACGGAGCAAGACCGCGUGAGGGAGGAAGGCUCUUGGGUUGUAAACCUCUUUUCUUGGGGAAGAACGCAAUGACGGUACCCAAGGAGUCAGCAUCGGCUAACUCCG